ensembl:processed_transcript
GAACGAUCAAAAAAUAAAGCCUGGAAAUCACGUUUCAAGAGGGCACUCACACACUCUUCCGAGAGAACGCACAAGAGAUCAAGUUCAACCUCCAUCACCUCAAAAUCGCCGACAUGUCGUUUUAAAACCAGGCAAAAAAGUAGCGCGUAAAUGUCUAGCGCGCACGCCGCGGAGGGUGAUCGUUCCCCGGCCUACAUUUCCAAACGCACAAGAAGAGGUCGAAAAGCCCCCUCUUUUUCCUCUCGCCCACCUCUAAAGAUGUUGCUCCAUACACGCCGGGGAAUGCAGAUGUCGGUAGCCGAAGAGGUGGCACUCGGAGCCGGGCAGGGGCAGGACCCUCGACCCUGGGAGACCCUCCGGCGAGCUGGCGGGAAGAGCAGCGCUGGCAGGCGGCGAAUCUCGCACUGACUGGCGGAGAGGGGGAGUGAGUCUAGACCGCAGUCGAGGAAGAAAGGACUGCCACUGGGGUCAGAGAGCAGCGACGAGAGCAUAGCCUCCGUACUAGCAUGGCGGAGCGAGUAUGUAUGUGCGUGUGUAUGAAUGUGUGUGUGUGUGUUACUCCUCCCCUCCCAAAGAAGAGUCUGCCAUGAUAUGCGUUCAC